rnacentral:rRNA from 1 species
GUGAGGAAUUUUCCGCAAUGGGCGAAAGCCUGACGGAGCAAUGCCGCGUGAAGGAUGAAGGCCUAUGGGUUGUAAACUUCUUUUCUCAGAAAAGAAUUAUGACGGUAUCUGAGGAAUAAGCAUCGGCUAACUCUGUGCCAGCAGCCGCGGUAAGACAGAGGAUGCAAGCGUUAUCCGGAAUGAUUGGGCGUAAAGCGUCUGUAGGUUGUUUAAAAAGUAUUCUGUCAAAGAUUAGGGCUUAACCCUAGAUAGGCAGAAUAAACUUUUAAGCUAGAGGUUGGUAGAGGGAGAGAGAAUUCCCGGUGGAGCGGUGAAAUGCGUAGAUAUCGGGAGGAACAGCAAAGGCGAAGGCACUCUGCUGGGCCAAUACUAACACUGAGAGACGAAAGCGAGGGGAGCAAAUGGGAUUAGAUACCCUAGUAGUCC